UACGUAGGGCGCAAGCGUUGUCCGGAAUUAUUGGGCGUAAAGAGCUCGUAGGCGGCUUGUCACGUCGGUUGUGAAAGCCCGGGGCUUAACCCCGGGUCUGCAGUCGAUACGGGCAGGCUAGAGUUCGGUAGGGGAGAUCGGAAUUCCUGGUGUAGCGGUGAAAUGCGCAGAUAUCAGGAGGAACACCGGUGGCGAAGGCGGAUCUCUGGGCCGAUACUGACGCUGAGGAGCGAAAGCGUGGGGAGCGAACCGG
rnacentral:rRNA from 1 species